ACGUAUGCAACUUAGCUACUAGGGGGAAGGAACCCGGCGAAAGUCGGACUAAUAACCCAUGAAGCAGGGGUCCCGCAUGGGAAGUAUUUGUCUAAAGAAUUCAUCGCUGAUAGAUAGGCAUGCGUUCCAUUAGGCAGUUGGCGGGGUAACGGCCCACCAAACCGACGAUGGAUAGGGGUUCUGAGAGGAAGGUCCCCCACAUUGGUACUGAGACACGGACCAA
rnacentral:rRNA from 1 species